UACGGAGGAUGCAAGCGUUAUCCGGAAUUAUUGGGCGUAAAGCGUCCGUAGGCGGCCUUUCAAGUCUGCUGUUAAAGCGUGCAGCUUAACUGCAUAAGGGCAGUGGAAACUGAGAGGCUAGAGUGUAGUAGGGGUAGAGGGAAUUCCCAGUGUAGCGGUGAAAUGCGUAGAUAUUGGGAAGAACACCGGUGGCGAAAGCGCUCUACUGGGCUACAACUGACGCUGAUGGACGAAAGCUAGGGGAGCGAAAGGG
rnacentral:rRNA from 1 species